GUUUUAAUAAUUUAAAUAAAAAUAUUAGUCUUGUAAACUAAACUUAGGUAACUCUUUAAAACU
rnacentral:tRNA from 1 species